rnacentral:rRNA from 1 species
UACGUAGGGGGCAAGCGUUGUCCGGAUUUAUUGGGCGUAAAGAGCGUGUAGGCGGCCAAACAGGUCAGCUGUGAAAACUCGAGGCUCAACCCCUAGACGUCGGUUGAAACCGUUUGGCUAGAGUCCGGAAGAGGAGAGUGGAAUUCCCGGUGUAGCGGUGAAAUGCGCAGAUAUCGGGAAGAACACCCGUGGCGAAGGCGGCUCUCUGGGACGGUACUGACGCUGAGACGCGAAAGCGUGGGGAGCGAACAGG